AAGAGCUCCCAUGUGUCCACAGGGGGAAAGCCAAUCGUCCCAUCGUGGUAUUACUGCUGUAUGAAAAAUGUAUGACAGGAUAUGAUACAGAGCAGAAGCCAUAUAUACACAGUUGUGAAUUAAUCAUUUGAUUUUAAGAGCUCUCAAUAAGUCUGCCAGUAGCUUUAAACUCUUUUUAUUAAUAUUUUCUCUUACUUUAACUCACUGUUUUUUUUUUUUCGUUUUUUUUUUGUCAUCUUUGUCAAAUGUUUCACUUUCUGUCUGCUCUUUUAAACACCAGCUAUGAUUAAGUAAACACUGAUCUAACCAUUCUGCCUUACAAGAAGCCAGGCUGCCAGCUUCCGGUUUGAAAUAUCAUCAAUAUUUAAUUAAGUGAUUAUCUUUUUAGGACACAACGCAGAUAAGAAUUGGAAAGAGGCUUAAAAGUUGGCUGCAGUUAAUGGAUAAUCCUCUUGUCAAAAUAGCCACCCCUGCAGUGGUGUCACUGUCCACCCACCUGACCAAACUAAAGUCCUACAGAUAAUAAUAACAAUUAAAAUAAAUGAUGGGACUGAAAUGGCAAUGGAAGGGGAAUGGUUUUAGUGACCUUUUGUUCCUGGAAAGGGGGGAAGCUGUGCCUCUGCUACCUGUACAGACUUCCGCCUGCUCAGCUGUAAGAAUGUAUGAAGAAAAUAAGAUUUUAUUUAUUUAUUUUAGAAAACAAAUGCACUUUUUUGGUCAUGGACUACAAGUCAAAAUAUCCAAAUCUAUGCCACAUCCAGCCAGGAGUGCAGAAUUAUUAGGCAAAUGAGUAUUUUGUCCACAUCAUCCUCUUCAUGCAUGUUGUCUUACUCCAAGCUGUAUAGGCUCGAAAGCCUACUACCAAUUAAGCAUAUUAGGUGAUGUGCAACUCUGUAAUGAGAAGGGGUGUGGUCUAAUGACAUCAACACCCUAUAUCAGGUGUGCAUAAUUAUUAGGCAACGUCCUUUCCUUUGGCAAAAUGGGUCAAAAGAAGGACUUGACAGGCUCAGAAAAGUCAAAAAUAGUGAGAUAUCUUGCAGAGGGAUGC
ensembl:lncRNA